AAGAAUAACUGAAUUAUUUAUAUCUAUACGGUAAAAAAAAAAAAGCUCCUAAAUCAUAGUAGGAGCAUAACGUUUGAAGGAUAAAAAGUUAUGCAAACGACAUAAUGUUUAAAUAUUAUUAUAAUUAGUAAUGAUAAUGAUAAAUUUUAGAAGAAAAAAACUUUAAAGAUGGAUUUUUUCCUCAGAAAUGAUAGUCUAAUACCAAGGCACUUGGUAAUUUUAGAACAAGG
rnacentral:lncRNA from 1 species